CGGUCGCCACUGACCGCUGCUGCACCUCCUGCCUUCUCCUGGGGAUCCCGGUUAGCGAUGGUGCUGCCACUGCGUCGUUUCACGUCGGUACUAAAACAGCCCGACGAUAUUUUGGGGCCUGGGUUAUUGUAAUUGCGGAAAAUCCGUUCGAGUACAUUUCUACGCGGCAACAUGAACGCCAUUUUUUUUUCUCAUUUUACCUCUGGGACUACUUCGCGACCGCGGAAUACGCGACAUGCGCAGUCGGCAACAACUCGGUUGUACAGCUCGAGGAAAAGCCUGUCGACUGCUGUCGUCAUUCGGCAGAGCCAGGCACGUUUCUUUUCAUGAAACACGAACAACCGCCUAUCCUCUGCGUCGAUGUAUGUAUGUACAUACAAACAAAUAAACGCGCAUGCGUAUAGGUUUAGCGAGUGGAAGUUUACAUUCGUAGAAAUGAUGGAUGAAUUAUAAUAAAAUACGGUGUUAAAAAUUAAUAGAGAAAUAUUUGUUCAUUUACAAUGAAUUUUGAACCAUAAGAUCGAUUUGAAAUUCGCAACUGUAUACUAGUAUCGUUGAUGCACAGGUAGGUAUAGAUAGGUGUAAUUAGCAUAUAGGUGUAUACGUACACCUUGUUCGAGCUGAUUAUUCCGGCCAGAGACAAUGACGAAAAUUUACGCGUUACAACAUGUAUACACAUACGUAUAUCUAUACAUGUACGCAUAUUAUGAAUUAUUCAGUAUCCGGAUAAUAAAUUAUCGGUUAAACUGUU